rnacentral:rRNA from 1 species
AUUGAACGCUGGCGGCAGGCCUAACACAUGCAAGUCGAGCGGAUGAAGGGAGCUUGCUCCUGGAUUCAGCGGCGGACGGGUGAGUAAUGCCUAGGAAUCUGCCUGGCAGGGGGGUGUAACAUCCGGAAACGGGCGCUAAUACCCCAUACUCCCUGAGGGGAAAGGAGGGGGUUCUUCGGACCUCACUUUCUCAGUUGACCCUAGUCCGGAUUAGUUAGUUGGUGGGUUAAAGGCCUACCAAGGCGACGGUCCGUAACUGGUCUGAGAGGAUGAUCAGUCACACUGGAACUGAGACACGGUCCAGACUCCUACGGGAGGCAGCAGUGGGGAAUAUUGGACAAUGGGCGAAAGCCUGAUCCAGCCAUGCCGCGUGUGUGAAGAAGGUCUUCGGAUUGUAAAGCACUUUAAGUUGGGAGGAAGGGCAGUAAGUUAAUACCUUGCUGUUUUGACGUUACCAACAGAAUAAGCACCGGCUAACUUCGUG